CGGGUGUAGUUCAAUGGUAGAAUCCCAGCCUUCCAAGCUGAUUGCGUGGGUUCGAUUCCCAUCACCC
rnacentral:tRNA from 1 species